rnacentral:piRNA from 1 species
CCUAUCCUUCCUUUCACAAGUAGCCAGGGA